GUGCCAGCCGCCGCGGUAAUACGUAGGGGGCGAGCGUUGUCCGGAUUUAUUGGGCGUAAAGAGCUCGUAGGCGGCUCAACAAGUCGGUCGUGAAGGUUCAGGGCUCAACCCUGAAAUGUCGAUCGAUACUGUUGUGACUAGGAUACGGUAGAGGUGAGUGGAAUUCCCGGUGUAGCGGUGAAAUGCGUAGAUAUUAGAAAGAACACCGGUGGCGAAAGCGCUCUACUGGACCAUUACUGACACUCAGAGGCGAAAGCUAGGGUAGCAAAAGGGAUUAGAUA
rnacentral:rRNA from 1 species